UACGUAGGGUGCGAGCGUUGUCCGGAAUUAUUGGGCGUAAAGAGCUCGUAGGCGGUGUGUCACGUCGGCCGUGAAAACCUGCAGCUUAACUGUGGGCGUGCGGUCGAUACGGGCAUCACUGGAGUUCGGCAGGGGAGACUGGAAUUCCUGGUGUAGCGGUGAAAUGCGCAGAUAUCAGGAGGAACACCGGUCGCGCAGGCGGGUCUCUGGGCCGAUACUGACGCUGAGGAGCGAAAGCGUGGGAAGCAAACAGG
rnacentral:rRNA from 1 species